UCCACUAUUUAGUGGUAGAGUACAAAGCUCUUAACCUUGUGGAUGUGGGUUCAAGCCCCAUGGUGGAG
rnacentral:tRNA from 2 species